CGCAAAUCGGUCGCCUGGUCGCGCCAGUGCGCAGUCGCUGCAGCCCGCGGACCUCGCCGGCCUCUGCCUUUUGCUUAAACCUUGCAGACGUUCUCGCUUGCGGAGAUGCUCAGCUGCCCCCGGCCCAGCGUCCCGCCACGCCCAUCCCCUGCCUAGAAAUAGACUGACAUCUCAUUCUCCUCACGUCCUUCCAGGCCUCACCCAGUCUCCCCCUCGAAUGCCUACGCUGGGUUUGUCGUUUUCAACAGAAAUAAUGGCUUUGUGAACAAGACGUCAGUGAUUCGGAGGUAAUCACAGAGCACAGAAGGUCAAGAGCCGGAAGACAUCUCCAGAUGCUCGGGUCCAUCUCACUUGAUAUUCAUGAGUGGACACCAGGCAUAACGAGGAUUUGCCUCCUCCCCCAAGACCAUGCAAGUGAAAAGCUAGGGGAUGGACUUGAAUCCUGUCUCCCUUCACCGGGACCCCUUUGCUCUGAGCCAGGCACGAAGCGGUGGAAUCUGUUUCCUACCUCCGGGAUCUGGGCUGGCCUUGUGACUUGGUUGAUAUGUAAAAUACAGUAGAGGCAACAUUGUGGGAUGUUCCAACACGGACCUCAAGAGGCCUUACAGCUUCUACAACUUGUCCUCUCAGAACUCUUCUACUGUCUGGUAAAGAAACCCAAACUUGCUUACUGGAGGCACAUGGCUCAGUCAAUAGCCAGCCCCAGUGACUCCAGGCCAGGCAGCUAAAGUUUGAGUGACAGCUUAUCUGAGACUUGGAAGAAUGCCCUGUAAUCCUUCUGGAGCACAGGAAGAUGGGGUUUCUGAACCUGCCUUGAGACCAUCUGCCACUUUCCUCCCUGCUGCCAGGAGCUGCCAUGAGACCAUUUCUUUACAACCUUCUCAUUUUAAUAAGUUGUGGAGAUGUGAUACCUGGCUGGCUGUUCCUGCUGUGCUCCUUCACUGCCAUGAUGAAACUUUCCUUUGAAACUGUAAGCCAGAAAUAAACCCUGACCUUCCAUAAACUGUUUCUGGUUGGAUGUUUGGUUCCAAUAAAAAGGUAACUGUG